rnacentral:rRNA from 1 species
GUGGGGAAUAUUGGACAAUGGGCGCAAGCCUGAUCCAGCCAUGCCGCGUGAGUGAUGAAGGCCUUAGGGUUGUAAAGCUCUUUCAGUGGGGACGAUAAUGACGGUACCCACAGAAGAAGCCCCGGCUAACUUCGUGCCAGCAGCCGCGGUAAUACGAAGGGGGCUAGCGUUGUUCGGAUUUACUGGGCGUAAAGCGCACGUAGGCGGAUCGUUAAGUCGGGGGUGAAAUCCUGGAGCUCAACUCCAGAACUGCAUUCGAUACUGGCGAUCUUGAGUCCGGAAGAGGUGAGUGGAACUCCUAGUGUAGAGGUGGAAUUCGUAGAUAUUAGGAAGAACACCAGUGGCGAAGGCGGCUCACUGGUCCGGUACUGACGCUGAGGUGCGAAAGCGUGGGGAGCAAACAGGAUUAGAAACCCUUGUAGUCC